GAUGAAGAACGCAGCGAAAUGCGAUAAGUAAUGUGAAUUGCAGAAUUCAGUGAAUCAUCGAAUCUUUGAACGCACAUUGCGCCCGCCAGCACUCUGGCGGGCAUACCUGUUCGAGCGUCAUUUCAACCAUCAAGCCCCCAGGGGCUUGUGCUGGGGCCCUGCGGCUGCCCGCAGGCCCUGAAAACCAGUGGCGGGCUCGCUAGUCACACCGAGCGCAGUAGCACAUCUCGCUCAGGGCGUGCGGCGGGCUCCUGCCGUGAAACCCCCCACUGUAACCCCAAAGGUUGACCUCGGAUCAGGUAGGAAUACCCGCUGAACUUAAGCAUAUCAAUAAGCGGAGGA
rnacentral:misc_RNA from 1 species